UUCCCUUAUCGUCCUUUUGGCUAAGAACAAGUGUAGUAUCUAUUCUUAUCAGUUUAAUAUCCAAUACAUGGGCCAUCGCCCUACUAUCAUAUUAAAUUAAUUUCUUGUGGGGGAGGGCCCACUACACUACAGUAGGUUGCUACUGGGGCCCUUGUGCGUUUCCCUUACAUUGCACUAUUGCAAGGGCUCGGUGCACCCCUC
rfam:Musa acuminata subsp. malaccensis Doubled-haploid Pahang (DH-Pahang) genomic chromosome, chr8